GUCCGUAGGGAACUAAUGUACAUACUGCGCAUGCGUUUAGCCCGGUUACGGGCUGAGGUGAAGAGGUGUGUCCGACUACAGGGACUUUCAGAGUGCAGCCAGGUCACCAUGACGACGGGAAGGGAGGGAAAGCGACUGAGUACCGGUACCUGAGUGCUGGGGGAGGCCCCCACGCACUCAGGUACUGCAGGGAUGUUGAUCGUUGUUUAUGGAUGCGUCAACCUAACUAGAAUAACAAAGCCUCCAUGACCAACUUUGAGUUUUAUAUAUUUGUUUGAAUGGUUUUGACUUGGCGCAACAAGUGUUUAGCCCAAUGAAACAACCUGUGUAAGCUACAUAUCAACCAGGACGCAUAUAAGGAAACAAAGGUAACUAAGGACUCGGAAAAUCCCUCGGCAUACCGUGAUGCGCUAUAAACACCGCGACUCACUGCUGUAAACACCGAUGGGCGCGCACAUCAAAGCUAUAAAAACCGCAGGUCGGGAAACUCACCGCUAUAAACACCGCAGGGAGCGCACGGUGCGCACCUCAUAGCCACACUUGGACUUCGGACCUCGAUCCUCAAAAUCUCAACAUAAAGUGAAUUCAAGAGAAUUAAACUACGAUGGAUUCGAGGAAAACAAGCAACGCCUCUGCGUCUAUAGAACAAGGCCAUGAUGACGACUCUUCCACCUUCUUGAGCCCCACAAGAGCUGAAGAGACCCAGAUCGACGGCCCUUUCCCCGCUCUGAAUCAUAUGGGCCGAGAAUUACUGGUCGAGUAUCUGCAAGUGGAACAUGACGCCUCUGCCAGCGUUGAAGACCUCAUCAAGCGGUCAGCGGUGAAGCACUUCCCCUCGCCGCCACCAGGGGGCGACGGUGUGUUAACCCCGGAGCUGCUGGAGGAACACCUGAACGAUGUGAGGCGGGCCGUGCACGACGAGCUGCAUCGGCUGAACCCUCUGCGCAAGAACUACAAGGACCUGGCCGGUCUGGUGCCGUCGUACCACCGCCUCGCGAUGGAACACGUGCACGCCCUCCUACCGAGGAUCUCGUCGUCACAGCAGGCCUUUGUGCUCCUGGAGUGGCUCUGCAACACUUACUUUAGGUUGUCCGCAGCGCGCACACACUUUUCAGAACCAUGUAUUUAA
rnacentral:lncRNA from 1 species